ensembl:misc_RNA Metazoa_SRP Metazoan signal recognition particle RNA
GCCAGGCGUGGUGGCACGUGCCUGUAGUCCCAGCUACUUGGGAGGCUGAGGCUGGAGGAUCGCUUGAGCCCAGGAGUUCUGGGCUGUAGUGCGCUAUACCAAUCGGGUGUCCGCACUAAAUUCGGCAUCAAUAUGGUGACCUCCCGGGAGCAGGGGACCACCAGAUUGCCUAGGGACUGGUGAACCGGCCCAGGUCGGAAAGGGAGCAGGUCAAAACUCUCGUGCUGAUCAGUAGUGGGAUCGCGCCUGUGAAGAGGCACUGCACUCCAGCCUGGGCAACAUAGCAAGACCCCAUCUCUA